AAGUCGUAACAAGGUUUCCGUAGGUGAACCUGCGGAAGGAUCAUUAUUGAAUGGCGCGCAAGCGUUUAUCUCAAAUUCAAACACCUGUGCACCUAGCCUCCGGGCUUUUUAUUACAAACAAUCAAAGUCUAUGAAUGUAAAACAUGUUGUAAAAUAACAAAUACAA
rnacentral:misc_RNA from 1 species